AUUGAACGCUGGCGGCAUGCCUUACACAUGCAAGUCGAACGGCAGCACGGGUGCUUGCACCUGGUGGCGAGUAGCGAACGGGUGAGUAAUACAUCGGCACCUGUCCUGUCGUGGGGGAUAGCCCGGCGAAAGCCGGAUUACUACCGCAUACGAUCCACGGCUUAGAGCGGGGGACCUUCGGGCCGCGCGCUUUGGGGUGGGCCGGUGGCUGAUUAGCUAGUUGGUGGGGUAGAGGCGUACCAAGGCGACGAUCAGUAGCUGGCCUGAGAGGAGGACCGGCCACCCUGGGACUGAGAGAGGGCCCAGAGUGGUACGGGAGGCAGAAGGGGGGAAUAUUGCGCAAUGGGCGGAAGCGUGAGGCAGCGACGCCGCGUGGGGGAUGACGGCCUUCGGGUUGUAAAACUCUUUCAGCAGGGACGAAGCGGGAGUGACGGUACCUGAAGAAGAAGCACCGGCCAACUACGUG
rnacentral:rRNA from 1 species